CAAUAGCGUAUAUUAAAGCUGUUGCGGUUAAAAAGCUCGUAGUUGGAUUUCUGUCAAGGACAACUGGUCCGCCCUCCGGGUGAGCACAUAGUUUGGUCUUGACAUCUUGCUGGAAGCUGUUGCUGCACUUGGCUGUGUGGCGCAGCGUUCAGCACUUUCACUUUGAGGAAAUUGGAGUGUUUCAAGCAGGCACAUGCCUUUGGACACAGUAGCAUGGAAUAAUUAGAUUGGGCUUUUGCUCCAAUUUGUCGGUUUCUGGAGCUGAGGUGAGUAUUAAUGGGGAUUGUUGGGGGCAUCCGAAUUUAGCCGUCAGAGGUGAAAUUCUUGGAUCUGCUAAAGACGGACAACUGCGAAAGCGUUUGCCCAGGAUGUUUNCAUUGA
rnacentral:rRNA from 1 species